UCCAACAACAUUAUCCAAACUGCUAGUAGCAUGUGACAUUGGAUGCUAAUUUAUGCAAACAUUUCAAUAGAAGUUUCGUGCAAAAAAGGUUUCUAGAAUCCAGAAAUUUUAUAGCACUUUCGAAGGUUUAUACGGGUUUAUAGCAGUUUAGAUAGAAUGUUUGACGAAAAUAAAACCGAGUGGAGUGCGCCGAAUUGACGAAAGGAGGAUACUCUUCUGUCGAUGAUUCAUCUUAUCGACUAUUAUGUGUGAUGAAUUAUUCCCACUUCUUUGGCGUUAUCGGUUCUACCACGACUAGAGGAGCCACAAUUUUUUAAAACAAGAUUCGCUCGAGAAUUGACUUGUUGAUCAGCGACGACUG